rnacentral:misc_RNA from 1 species
UCCGGUUUAUCACCGGCAGUCUCGCAUGAGUGCUCGGCAUUACCCGGUGGCAACAUGCGAUGGGGGUUGCGCUCGUUGCGGGACUUAACCCAACACCUCACGGCACGAGCUGACGACAGCCAUGCAACACCUGUCCUGGUUCCCGAUUUUACGGGUGGGCAACCCUUUCAGGCGCCUACAUCCAGGAUGUCAUGCCUGGGUAAGGUUCUUCGCGUUGCGUCGAAUUGAACCACAUGCUCCGCUGCUUGUGCGGGCCCCCGCCAAUUCCUUUGAGUUUUAGCCUUGCGGCCGUACUCCCCAGGCGGGGUGCUUAAUGCGUUAGCUUCGGCACGGACGGAGUUGACACCGCCCACACCUAGCACCCAUCGUUUACGGCGUGGACUAC